rnacentral:ncRNA from 2 species
UUAUAACUUUUCUUCAUCCAUAUUUGCAUCAACAAAAGGGAAUUUGGUGAGAAUCCAAAACAGUCCCCGCUACUGUAACUUUUCCUAUUUAUUUAGGUUUUUGCAAUACCACUGGGCAACCGGGAAGGUUCGAAAUAAAAAGAAGUCAGGAUAUCUUUUGUUGUAGAAUUAUUCUU